rnacentral:rRNA from 1 species
GAUAUUAGUCAAUGGCCUAAAGGCUGAACCAGUAACUUGGAAGAAUGUAAAUGUAUUAAUUAUUAAUACAAUAACGAUUAAUUCGUAUAAAAUUCUAAAUAGAAUAAUGAUAAUGACAAUUUUCUAUUUAUAAGUCUUGACCAAAUUACGUGCCAGCAGUCGCGGUAAUACGUAAAAGACUAGUGUUAGUCAUCUUUAUUAGGUUUAAAGGGUACCUAGACGGUAAAUUAAACUCUUAUUGAGUAUCUUUUUACUAGAGUUUUAUAAGAGAAGGAAGAAUUUUUGGAGUAGUGAUAAAAUACUUUUAUACCAAAAAGACUGAUAACGGCGAAGGCAUCCUUCUAUGUAAAAACUGACGUUGAGGGACGAAGGCUUGGGUAGCAAUAAGGAUUAGAUACCCUAGUAGUCCAAGCAGAAAAUGAUGAAUGUCAUAAACUAGAUAAUUAAUUUAGUAUAUAAAUGAAAGUGUAAGCAUUCCACCUCAAGAGUAAUAUGGCAACAUAUAAACUGAAAUCAUUAGACCGUUUCUGAAACCAGUAGUGAAGUAUGUUAUUUAAUUCAUUAAUCCGC